rnacentral:lncRNA from 1 species
UGCCUAUUACGAGGAACUGAAAUGAAACAACAUAAUUUAGGUUUUAGUUUAUUGUUGCAAAUUUUUAAUUCUCACAUUCUCUAAUCUAUAUCCUACAUGUUUUCAAAUCAAAUAUGAAUUGAAUUAAACAAUAUUUACAAUGCAUAUUAAUUUCCCUAAUUAAUUACCAAACACUAAUUCUUUUGAUUUUCUUAAAGCCUAACCUAUUAACAAAUCCCAAGUGUCCAAAUAACCCAAUUCAUCACAUGUUUACUAAUCUAUUUUUCAAUCAAACCAAAUUAAACAAAGAUUUAUGCUGAUCUUACCCUUAAUAAAAUACUUAACUUAAAAUACUUUAAUCUUUAAUUAAUUGUGAUUUUUAACUAAAACGGGUUUAUAGCUAAUUAUACUCAACUUUUAAACAAUUUUUACCAUUAAUUCUUCUAAACAUACCUUUAGGAACCAAAAUAAACGAAAAUUACAAAAUUAAACAACUUGCUUACCUCAAAUCUACACUUUCUCUCUCUAGAUUCUCUCUCUAACCCAAGUUGCUGCAGGUGAAAUGGUGCAAAGAGAGCUGCAGCCCCCUUAUAAAGGGGGUCUCCAAGAACCCAAGCAUGAGGUGGCAGCCCACAUGGCUGCCACCAAUCCACCCAAGUAGGAGGUGGCAUUCCACUAACUCAAAUUUCCAAAUUUGCACUUUAGUCCUUCAAGUUAUCAAAAAUAAAACCCAUAAUUGCUCAUCAGUCCUUUAGGUUUUCAUAACCCUAAUUAGUCCCUAAGAACCUAAUAAGCAUGCUUAGAUCAUUAACUAAUCCCACUUAACCUUAAUCAAAGUUUAAUUCAUAAUUAAACAUGAUUAGCACUAAACUAGUUUUAACAUCUAAAUAAGCAAGCUUAAGUUAAGUACUAAAAUAAUCAUUAUUGCCUAUUUAAUUCAUUAGUACUAAGUGUUACAGGUUUCGCAUCGUUUGGACACCAUCUAGGUCUGAUGGAUGUUUAUUCUUUCUCAUUUUUGGACGACAUCGUAGGUUCUUUCUAAGGUCAUUCAUUCUUCACUUUUGUUUGUCAUCAUUGAGACGCCCCCUAGGCGCUAUCUAAGCUAAAUUGUUUGUUCCUUUAAUUUCUCACUGUUUAGACACCAUCCUAGGUUCUGCGCAUGUUUAUACUUCAUCCAUUUUGUUUCGUAUCAUUGGAACACCAUCUCGGUUUAAUCUAAGUUCAUUUGUCUAUUCCACUCGUUUUUCAUCAUUGGGACAACUUUCUAGGUUCUAUCUAUGCUCAUUCCAUUUUGCCAUUUGUAACUAAUCAUUGGGACAUGAUCCUUUGGUUUCGCAUUGUUUGGACACCAUCUAGGUUUGAUGGAUGUUUAUUCUUUCUCAAUUUCGUUUCUCAUUUUUGGACGACAUUGUAGGUUUUUUCUAAGGUAAUUCAUUCUUUACUUUGGUUUGUCAUCAUGGGGACGCCCCCUAGGUGCUAUCUAAGCUUAAUUGUUUGUUCCUUUAAUAUCUCACCGUUUAGACACCAUCCUAGUCUUUGUGUAUGUUUAUACUUCAUCCAUUUUGUUUCCUAUCAUUGGAACACCAUUUAGGUUUAAUCUAAGUUCAUUUCUCUAUUCCACUCGUUUUUCAUCAUUGGGACAGCUUUCUAAGUUCUAUCUACGCUCAUUCCACUUUUCCAUUUGGAACUAACCAUUGUGACAUGAUCGUUUGGUUUCGCAUCAUUUGGACACCAUAUAGGUUUGAUGGAUGUUUAUUCUUUCUCAAUUUCGGACGACAUCGUAGGUUCUUUCUAAGGUCAUUCAUUUUUUACUUUGGUUUGUCAUCAUGGGGACGCCCCCUAGGCGCUAUCCAAGCUUAACUGUUUGUUCCUUUAAUUUCUCACCGUUUAGACACCAUCCUAGGUUUUGCGUAUGUUUAUACUUCAUCCAUUUUGUUUCCUAUCAUUGGAACACCAUCUAGGUUUAAUCUAAGUUCAUUUGUCUAUUCCACUCGUUUUUCAUCAUUGGGAAAGCUUUCUAGGUUCUAUCUAUGCUCAUUCCAUUUCUCCAUUUGUAACUAAUCAUUCGGACAUGAAGCUUUGGUUUCUCAUCGUUUUGACACCAUCAAGGUUUUAUUUUGAUUUGUCAUCAUUGGCACGCCCCUUUGGCCCUAUCUAAGCUCAUUACUUUUUUCGAUUUGUAACUAAUCAUUGGGACAUGAACCUUUGGUGUCUCAUCGUUUCGACACCAUCCCUUUGAUGGAAGUUUAUUCUUUGUCUAUUUGGUUUCUCAUUUUGGGAUAACAACGUAGGUUCUUUCUAAGGUCAUUCAUUCUUUACUUUGGUUUGUCAUCAUUGGGACGCCCAUUAGGCCCUAUCUAAGCUUAAUUGUUUGUUCCUUUAAGUUCUCACCGUUUAGACACGAUACUAGGUUCUAUCUUGGUUUAUUCUUCAUCCCUUUUGUUUCCUAUCAUUGGAACGCCAUCUAGGUUUUAUCAAAGAUCAUUUACUUGUUCUACUCAUUUUUCGUCAUUGGGACGCCCAUUUGGCCCUAUCUAAGAUUAAUUGUUUCUUCCUUUAAUUUCUCACCGUUUCGACACCAUCCUAGCUUCUGUCAAUGUUUAUUCUUCAUCGCGUUUGUAUCCUCUCAUUGGAACGCCAUAUAGAUUUUGCCUAAGUUCAUUUAUUUGUUCUACUCGUUUUUCUAGGUUCUAUCUAAGCUCAUUCGUUUUUUCCAUUUGUAACUAAUCAUUGUGACAUGAUCCUUUGGUUUCGCAUCGUUUGGACACCAUCUAGGUUUGAUGGAUGUUUAUUCUUUCUCAAUUUCGUUUCUCAUUUUUGGACUACAUCGUAGGUUCUUUCUAAGGUCAUUCAUUCUUUACUUUGGUUUGUCAUCAUGGGGACACCCCCUAGGCGCUAUCUAAGUAAUUGUUUCUUCCUUUAAUUUCUCACCGUUUAGACACCAUCAUAGAUUCUGCAUAUGUUUAUACGUCAUCCCUUUUGUUUCCUAUCAUUGGAACGCCAUCUAGAUUUUAUCUAAGUUCAUUUAGGUUUUCUGCUCGUUUUUCGUCAUUGGGACUGCUUUCUGGGUUCUAUCUAUGCGCAUUCCAUUUUUCCAUUUGGGACAUGAUCCUUGGUUUCUCAUUGUUUGGACACCAUCUAGGUUUUAUGGAAGUUUAUUCUUUCUGCAUUUGGUUUCUCUUUUGGGGACGACAUCGUAGGUUCUUUCUAAGGUUCUAUCUAAGCUCAUUCCUUUUUUCCAUUUGUAACUAAUCAUUGUGAUAUGAUCCUUUGGUUUUGCAUCGUUUGGACACCAUCUAGGUUUGAUGGAUGUUUAUUCUUUCUCAAUUUGGUUUCUCAUUUUUGGACGAUGUCGUAGGUUCUUUUUAAGGUCAUUCAUUCUUUACUUUGGUUUGUCAUCAUGGGGACGCCCCCUAGGCGCUAUCUAAGCUUAACUGUUUGUUCCUUUAAUUUUCAUCGUUUAGACACCAUCCUAGCUUCUGUCAAUGUUUAUUCUUCAUCCCUUUUGUUUCCUAUCAUUGAAACGCCAUAUAGAUUUUACCUAAGUUCAUUUAUUUGUUCUACUCGUUUUUCGUUAUUGGGAAAGCUUUCUACGUUCUAUCUAAGCUCAUUCCUUUUUUCCAUUUGUUACUAAUCAUUGGGACAUGAUCCUUUGGUUUUGCAUCGUUUGGACACCAUCUAGGUUUGAUGGAUGUUUAUUCUUUCUCAAUUUCGUUUCUCAUUUUUGGACGACAUCGGAGGUUCUUUCUAAGGUCAUUCAUUCUUUACUUUGGUUUGUCAUCAUGGGGACGCCCCCUAGGCGCUAUCUAAGUAAUUGUUUGUUCCUUUAAUUUCUCACCGUUUAGACACCAUCCUAGAUUCUGCGUAUGUUUAUACGUCAUCCCUUUUUUUUCCUAUCAUUGGAACGCCAUCUAGAUUUUAUCUAAGUUCAUUUAGGUUUUUUGCUCGUUUUUCGUCAUUGGGAUUGCUUUUUGGGUUCUAUCUAUGCGCAUUCCAUUUUUCCAUUUGGGACAUGAUCCUUGGUUUCUCAUUGUUUGGACACCAUCUAGGUUUUAUGGAAGUUCAUUCUUUCUCCAUUUGGUUUCUCAUUUUGGGAUGACAUCGUAGGUUCUUUCUAAGGUUCUAUCUAUGCUCAUUCUUCUUUUCCAUUUGUAACUAAUCAUUAAGACACGAACCUUUGGUUUCUCACUGGCCGGACACCAUCUAGGUCUGAUGGACGUUUAUUCUUUCUGCCAUUGGUUUCUCAUCUUUGGGACGACAUGGUAGGUUCUAUCUGAGGUCAUUCAUUCUUUACUUUGGUUUGUCAUCAUGGGGACACCCCUUGGGCUCUACCUAAGCUUAAUUAUAUGUUAUUAUAAUUUCCCAUCGUUUAGACACCAUGCUAGGUUCUAUCUAUAUUUAUUCGCCAUCCCUUUUUUUUCCUAUCAUUGGAACGCCUUCUAGAUUUUAUCUAAGUUCAUUUAGGUUUUCUACUCGUUUUUCGUCAUUGGGACUGGUCUCUAGGUUCUAUCUAUGCGCAUUCCAUUUUUCCAUUUGGGACAUGAUCCUUUGGUUUCUCAUUGUUUGGACAACAUCUAGGUUUUUUGGAAGUUUAUUGUUUCUCCAUUUGGUUUCUCAUUUUGGGUCGACAUCGUAGGUUCUUUCUAAGGUCAUGCAUUCUUUACUUUGGUUUGUCAUCAUUGGGACGCCCCUAGGCCCUAUCUAAGCUUAAUUGUUUGUUCCUUUAAUUUCUCUUCGUUUAGACACCAUCCUAGGUUCUACGUAUGUUUAUACUUCAUCCAUUUUGUUUCCUAUCAAUGGAACACCAUCUAGGUUUAAUCUAAGAUUAUUUGUCUGUUCCACUCGUUUUUCAUCAUUGGGAUAGCUUUCUAGGUUCUAUCUAUGCCCAUUCCAUUUUUCCAUUUGUAACUAUUCAUUGGGACACGAAACUUUGGUUUCUCAUUGGUUGGACACCAUCUAGGUUUGUUCGAAGCUUAUUCUUUCUCCCUUUGGUUUCUCAUCUUUCUGACCACAUCGUAGGUUUUAUCUAAGGUCAUUAAUGCUUUCCUUUGGUUUUCUUCCUUGGCACGCUCCCUACGCCCUAUCUCAGCUUAAUUAUUUGUUCCUUUAAUUUCUCAUCGUUUAGACAACACACUAGGUUCUAUCUAUAUUAAUUCUUCAUCCCUUUUGUUUCCUAUCAUUGGAACGCCAUCUAGAUUUUAUUUGUGGUCAUUUAUUUGUUCUACUCGUUUUUCGUCAUUGAGAAAGCUUUCUAGGUUCUAUCUAAGCUCAUUCCUUUUUUCCAUUUAUAACUAAUCAUUCGCACACGAAACUUCUGUUUCUCAUUUUUUGGACACCAUCUAGGUUUGAUCGAAGUUUAUUCUUUCUCCCUUUGGUUUCUCAUCUUUGGGACGACAUCGUAGGUUCUAUCUGAGGUCAUUCAUUCUUUACUUUGGUUUGUCAUCAUGGGGACACCCCUUGGGCUCUACCUAAGCUUAAUUAUAUGUUAUUAUAAUUUCCCAUCGUUUAGACACCAUGCUAGGUUCUAUCUAUAUUUAUUCGCCAUCCCUUUUGUUUCCUAUCAUUGGAACGCCAUCUAGAUUUUAUCUAAGUUCAUUUAGGUUUUCUACUCGUUUUUCGUCAUUGGGACUGCUUUCUAGGUUCUAUCUAUACGCAUUCCAUUUUUCCAUUUGGGACAUGAUCCUUUGGUUUCUCAUUGUUUGGACACCAUCUAGGUUUUAUGGAAGUUUAUUCUUUCUCCAUUUGGUUUCACAUUUUGGGUCGACAUCGUAGGUUCUUUCUAAGGUCAUGCAUUCUUUACUUUGGUUUGUCAUCAUUGGGACGCCCCUAGGCCCUAUCUAAGCUUAAUUGUUUGUUCCUUUAAUUUCUCUUCGUUUAGACACCAUCCUAGGUUCUGUGUAUGUUUAUACUUCAUCCAUUUUGUUUCCUAUCAAUGGAACACCAUCUAGGCUUAAUCUAAGAUUAUUUGUCUGUUCCACUCAUUUUUCAUCAUUGGGACAGCGUUCUAGGUUCUAUCUAUGCCCAUUCCAUUUUUCCAUUUGUAACUAAUCAUUGGGACACGAAACUUUGGUUUCUCAUUGGUUGGACACCAUCUGGGUUUGAUCGAAGUUUAUUCUUUCUCCCUUUGGUUUCUCAUCUUUCUGACCACAUCGUAGGUGUAAGGUCAUUAAUGCUUUUCUUUGGUUUGUCUUCCUUGGCACGCUCCCUAGGCCCUAUCUCAGCUUAAUUAUUUGUUCCUUUAAUUUCUCAUCGUUUAGACAGCACACUAGGUUCUAGCUAUAUUAAUUCUUCAUCCCUUUUGUUUCCUAUCAUUGGAACGCCAUCUAGAUUUUAUCUAUGGUCAUUUAUUUGCUCUAUUCGUUUUUCGUCAUUGAGAAAGCUUUCUAGGUUCUAUCUAAGGUCAUUCCUUUUUUCCAUUUAUAACUAGUCAUUGGCACACGAAACUUUGGUUUCUCACUGUUUGGAUACCAUCUUGGUUUGAUCGAAGCUUAUUCUUUCUCCCUUUGGUUUCUCAUCUUUCUGACGACAUUGUACUUUCUACCUAAGGUCAUUAAGCCUUCCUUUGGUUUGUCUUCAUUGGCACGCCCCCCCUAGGCCCUAUCUAAGCUUAAUUAAUUGUUCCUUUAAUUUCUCAUUGGGAUUGAUUUUUGGGUUCUAUCUAUGCGCAUUCCAUUUUUCCAUUUGGGACAUGAUCCUUGGUUUCUCAUUGUUUGGACACCAUCUAGGUUUUAUGGAAGUUUAUUCUUUCUCCAUUUGGUUUCUCAUUUUGGGACGACAUCGUAGGUUCUUUCUAAGGUUCUAUCUAUGCUCAUUCUUUUUUUCCAUUUGUAACUAAUCAUUAAGACACGAACCUUUGGUUUCUCAUUGGCCGGACACCAUCUAGGUCUGAUGGAAGUUUAUUCUUUCUGCCAUUGGUUUCUCAUCUUUGGGACGACAUCAUAGGUUCUAUCUGAGGUCAUUCAUUCUUUCCUUUGGUUUGUCAUCAUUGGCACACCCCUUGGGCUCUACCUAAGCUUAAUUUUGUGUUAUUAUAAUUUCCCAUCGUUUAGACACCAUGCUAGGUUCUAUCUAUAUUUAUUCGUCGUCCCUUUUGUUUCCUAUCAUUGGAACGCCAUCUAGAUUUUAUCUAAGUUCAUUUAGGUUUUCUACUCGUUUUUCGUCAUUGGGCCUGCUUUCUAGCUUCUAUCUAUGCGCAUUCCAUUUUUCCAUUUGGGACAUGAUCCUUUGGUUUCUCAUUGUUUGGACACCAUCUAGGUUUUAUGGAAGUUUAUUCUUUCUCCAUUUGGUUUCUCAUUUUGGGUCGACAUCGUAGGUUCUUUCUAAGGUCAUGCAUUCUUUACUUUGGUUUGUCAUCAUUGGGACGACCCUAGGCCCUAUCUAAGCUUAAUUUUUUGUUCCUUUAAUUUCUCUUUGUUUAGACACCAUCCUAGGUUCUGCGUAUGUUUAUACUUCAUCCAUUUUCUUUCCUAUCAAUGGAACACCAUCUAGGUUUAAUCUAAGAUUAUUUGUCUGUUCCACUUGUUUUUUGUCAUUGGGAUAGUUUUCUAGGUUCUAUCUAUGCCCAUUCCAUUUUUCCAUUUGUAACUAAUCAUUGGGACACGAAACAUUGGUUUCUCAUUGGUUGGACACCAUCUAGGUUUGAUGGAAGUUUAUUCUUUCUCCCUUUGUGACGACAUUGUAGGUUUUAUGUAAGGUCAUUCUUUCUUUUCUUUGGUUUGUCAUCAUUGGCACUCCCCUUAGGCCUUAUAUGAGCUUAAUUAUUUGUUCCUUUAAUUUCUCAUUGUUUAGACAACAUACUAGGUUCUAUCUAUAUUAAUUCUUCAUCCCUUUUGUUUCCUAUCAUUAGAACGCCAUCUAGAUUAUAUCUCAGGUCAUUUAUUUGUUCUACUCGUUUUCAUCAUUGGGACAGCUUUCUAGGUUAUCUAAGCUCAUUCCUUUUUUCAAUUUAUAACUAAUCAUUGGGACACGAAGCUUUGGUUUCUCACUGUUUGGACACCAUCUAGGUUUGAUCGAAGUUUAUUCUUUCUCCCUUUGGUUUCUCAUCUUUCUAACGAGAUUGUAGGUUCUAUCUAAGGUCAUUAAUGCUUUCCUUUGGUUUGUCUUCAUUGGCACGCCCCCUAGGCCCUAUCUAAGCUUAAUUAUGUGUUCCUUCAAUUUCUCCUCUUUUGGACACCAUCCUAGGUUCUAUCUAUGUUUAUUCUUCAUCCCUUUUGUUUCAUAUCAUUGGAAUGCCAUCUAGGAUUUAUCUAAGUUCAUUUGUUUGUUCCACUCGUUUUUCAUCAUUGGGACAGUUUUCUAGGUUCUAUCUAAGCUCAUUCUUUUUUUCGAUUUGUAACUAAUCAUUAAGACACGAACCUUUGGUUUCUCACUGGUUGGACACCAUCUAGGUCUGAUGGAAGUUUAUUCUUUCUGCCAUUGGUUUCUCAUCUUUGGGACGACAUCAUAGGUUCUAUCUGAGGUCAUUCAUUCUUUCCUUUGGUUUGUCAUCAUUGGCACACCCCGAGGCCCUAUCUAAGCUUAAUUGUUUGUUCCUUUAAUUUCUCAUUGUUUGGACACCAUCCAAGGUUCUAUCUAUGUUUAUUCUUGAUCCCUUUUGUUUCCUAUCAUUGGAUUGGCAUCUAGGUUUUAUCUAAGUUCAUUUGUGUGCUCCACUUGUUUUUCAUCAAUCGAACAGCUUUCUAGGUUCUAUCUGAGCUCAUUCCUUUUUUCCAUUUGUAACUAAUCAUUGGGACAUGAUCCUUUGGUUUCUCAUUGUUUGGACACCAUCUAGGUUUUAUGGAAGUUUAUUCUUUCUCCCUUUGGUUUCUCAUAUUGGGGACGACAUCAUAGGUUUUUUCUAAGGUCAUUCAUUCUUUUCUUUCGUUUGUCAUCAUUGGGACGCCCCCUAGGCCCUAUCUAAGCUUAAUUGUUUGUUCCUUUAAUUUCUCAUCGUUUGGACACCAUCCUAGGUUUUAUCUAUGUUAAUUCUUCAUCCCUUUUGUUUCCUAUCAUUCGAACGCCAUCUAGGUAUUAUCUAAGUUCAUUUGUUUCUUCCACUUGCUUUUCAUCAUUAGGACAGCUUUCUAGUUUCUAUCUAAGCUCAUUCCUUUUUUCCAUUUGUAACUAAUCUUUGGGACAUGAUCCUUUGGUUUCUCAUCGUUUGGACACCACCUAGGUUUUAUGGAAGUUUAUUCUUUCUCCCUUUGGUUUCUCAUCUUUGGGACGACAUUGUAGCUUCUUUCUAAGGUCAUUCGUUCUUUCCUUUUGUUUUUCAUCAUUGGGAUGCCCCCUAAGCUUAAUUGUUUGUUCCUUUAAUGUCUCAUCGUUUGGACACCAUCCUAGGUUUUGUCUAUGUUUAUUCUUCAUCCCUUUUGUUUCCUAUCAUUGGAACGCCAUUUUGGAUUUAUCUGAGUUCAUUUGUUUGUUCCACUCGUUUUUAACCAUUGGGACAACUUUCUAGGUUCUAUCUAAGCUCAUUCUUUUUUUCCAUUUGUAACUAAUCAUUAGGACAAAAUCCUUUGGUUUCUCAUCGUUUGGUAACCAUCUAGGUUUUAUGGAAGUUUAUUCUUUCUCCCUUUGGUUUCUAAUAUUGAGGAUGACAUCGUAGGUUUAAGGUCAUUCAUUCUUUCCUUCGUUUGUCAUCAUUGGGACACCCCCUUGGCCUAUCUAAGCUUAAUUGUUUGUUCCUUUAAUUUCUCAUCGUUUGGACACCAUCCUAGGUUUUGUCUAUGUUUAUUCUUCAUCCCUUUUGUUUCCUAUCAUUGGAUUGCCAUCUAGGUUUUAUCUAAGUUCAUUUGUUUGUUCCACUUGUUUUUCAUCAUUGGGACAGCUUUCUAGGUUCUAUCUAAGCUCAUUUCUUUUUUCCAUUUCUAACUAAUCAUUGGGACAUGAUCCUUUGGUUUCUCAUUGUUUGGACACCACCUAGGUUUUAUGGAAGCUUAUUCUUUCUCCCUUUGGUUUCUCAUCUUUGGGACGACAUCAUAGCUUCUUUCUAAGGUCAUUCAUUCUUUCCUUGGGCUUGUCAUCAUCGGGAUGCCCCCUAGGGCUUAUCUAAGCUUAAUUGUUUGUUCCUUUAAUUUCUCAUUGUUUGGACACCAUCCUAGGUUCUAUCUAUGUUUAUUCUUCAUCCUUUUUGUUUCCUAUCAUUGGAACGCCAUCUAGGUUUUAUCUAAUUUCAUUUGGUUGUUCCACUUGUUUUUCAUCAUUGGGACAUUCCUUUGGUUUCUCAUCGUUUGGACACCAUCUAGUUUAUUCUUUCUCCCUUUUGUUUUUCAUCUUUGGGACGACAUCAUAGGUUCUAUCUAAGGUCAUUCAUUCUUUCCUUGGGUUUGUCAUCAUUGGGACGCCCCCUAGGCCCUAUCUAAGGUUAAUUGUUUUUUCCUUUAAUUUCUCGUCGUUUGGACACUAUCUUAGGUUCUAUCUAUGUUUAUUCUUCAUCCCUUUUGUUCCUUUCAUUGGAACGCCAUCUAGGUUUUAUCUAAGUUCAUUUGUUUGUUCCACUUGUUUUCAUCAUUGGGAUAGCUUUCUAGGUUCUAUCUAAGCUCAUUUCUUUUUUCCAUUUGUAAGUAAUCAUUGGGAUAUGAUCCUUUGGUUUCUCAUCAUUUGGACACCAUCCCAGGUUCUAUAUAAGUUUAUUCUUUGUUCCUCCCGUUUCUUAUUAUUUUGACACCAUCUUAGGUUUUAUCUAAACUUAAUAUUUUGUUUCUUUGAUUUUUUUUAUCAUUGGGACACCAUUGUAGGUUCUAUGUGAUAUUAUUUUUUGUUCCUUUGGUUUCUCAUCAUUCUAAUGUCAUGAUAAGUUCUAUCUAAGCCUACUCAUUUGUUCCUUUGGUUUCUCUUCCUUGGGAUGCCAUUCUAGGUUUUGUCUUAGUUUUUUUCUUUAGUUUUUUUGUUUAAUCAUUAUCUGAACUUCAUUCCAAUUCAAAUAUAUUGUUUUCUUCUUUAUUUAGCUUUAUAUAAAAUAUAAGAAACUAUAAUACACUGUGCAAAUUAAGUACUCUGACUGAGGAAUAAUCUAUGAAUUAAUUUGAAGUCAUAUUGAAAUAACAAAACACCUAGCACAAACAAUCCAAUCAUACCCAAUGUAAAAACAUUUGGCUGAAUUAUGGCAACCUCACCUUGGAUUUCUAAAAAUUGAUAAGAACAUUUGGCUGAAAUGAAUUUAUGGUAUAUACGAUGAGAGGUGGUUCAUUGAUGUAUACUCAUGCGUUAUUUGAUGCCAAGCAUGAUUUCAAGAUUACUAUACGAAACAACAUAGAAUUCUUACCAGUUGAAGAUGCUCACUAAACCUUAAAGCAGUUACGGCCAGACGUUCAAAAUGAAAAGCCAUCCGUUGAAUGGACAGAUUUGAAGCAGCAAAUAAGAAACAUAAACUGUAAUCGCUUGAAAGAAUUUUUACCUGUUGAAGAUUCUACAAUCCUUGGAGCAUCCAUGCCCAAACCUUCAAAAUGAAAAGUCAUCUCCAAUAGGCAAAUUUGAAGCAACAAAUGAGAAACUUAAACAAUAAUAGCAUGUUAGAAUUUUUAGGAAAAAAGAGUAUCACCUUUAUAUUUUAAAAAAAAAAAACAUUGAAUUGUAUUAUAAGUAUCACUGUAGUGGGAAUAAUAUAUCACUGCUCUUUGGUUUAUGGUAAGAUAUGCAAAAUUUUUAAUUUUUAAUAAAAUGAAAAGAAAAUUAAUAUAAAUGAUUAAAUACAAAUUCUUUGUGAAAAUUGUAUUUUAUUUUUUAUUUUAUAUAAUAAGAAAAUUAAAAAUUUUAACAAAUGAAAAUGGUAUAACCUCAACCAAGUUUUUAUCUUCUUUAAUAAAAAAUAUUAAACAUUUUAAUCAAGAAAAAAAGAUAAAACCAUGGUGAAUAUUAAGUAAAAAAAUUCAAUUUCUUUAUUAUAUAUUUAUUUUUAUAUUUUUCUCAUUAAUGAUUUAUUAUAUGUUAUUAUUAUUAUUUUAUAUGUAAAGUGUUCAUAAAUAUUUUAAAAAAAAUGAAAGAGUGAAAAAAAAAUGAAAUUUAAAAUAUUUUGAGAAUGAGUAACUAGUAUAUUCUAAAAAAAUCCAAAAGGUAUAAAAUGAAGAAAGAAGAAAUAAAAAAAAAAAAAAAAAUUAAUGUUGCAUGUUGAUCCCCACAUGAUAUUCGAAUUUUGUUUAUGCUAUUACUUGUCGGGGAAUUUUUGGCGCUGGUUUUGGGAGGACUCUUGAAGGGGUUUCAAACAGCAUUUCACAAAGGCAAAAAGGGAGACCAUUUCAAACAGCAUUUCAAAAAGGCAACAAGGGAGAGAAUGCAUAUGAUACCUGUUAGAGAAGUACACCAAGCAUGACAGGAUCAGAUCAGGAGGGCUUUGGGAAUUCUCGAGGGUUCUUGGCAGGAGUUCUUCAGCUCAUCGUCCUUGAUCACCAGGAAUUUAUCAUCGUCAUCGGUACACAUUUGGAGUUUUUCGGGAUUUUUCCAGAAGCUAGAUCUUUUCUAGAGACGUGCGUCUCCACCACUAGCAGGGAGAAUCAUCUUCACAGGCGCGCCAUCA